rnacentral:rRNA from 1 species
GACGUAGGAUGCGAGCGUUGUCCGGAUUUAUUGGGCGUAAAGAGUUCGUAGGUGGUUUGUUAAGUCUGACGUUAAAGACUGGGGCUCAACCCUGGAGCUGCGUUGGAUACUGGCAGACUUGAGUGUGGUAGAGGCAAGUGGAAUUCCAGGUGUAGCGGUGAAAUGCGUAGAUAUCUGGAAGAACACCGGUGGCGCAAGCGACUUGCUGGGCCAUAACUGACACUGAGGAACGAAAGCUAGGGGAGCGAAUGGG